rnacentral:misc_RNA from 1 species
CGCACAUUGCGCCCCUUGGUAUUCCGGGGGGCAUGCCUGUUCGAGCGUCAUUUCAACCCUCAAGCUCUGCUUGGUCUUGGGCUAUGCCGGCAACGGUAGGCCUCAAACACAGUGGCGACGCCAUCGUGUCCCUCAGCGUAGUAAUUCUUCUCGCUGUUGGGUUCCGGUGGUCGUUGGCCAGCAACCCCAAUUUUCUAUGGUUGACCUCGGAUCAGGUAGGGAUACCCGCUGAACUUAA